ensembl:lncRNA
CAAUACUUUACCUUUAUUUUCAGUCCCUAUGAUAGUCUCAGUUUUGGAGAGAGCAUUGAAAUCUAACUUUGUCUGGAUUGUUCACAUUACUCUCAACACUAUUUCAUUAAGUUUUUGAUAGUAUGUAGUGUUCUGUGUGCAAGGAAAGAAAUAAAUAACACAUUUAUUUGCUGAAUGUUAUAAGGUUUGCAAGUUGUUAGUGAUUUUUUUGCCCACACAGGAUUCUAUACAUUUAUACCAUCUUAUAUCUGGCAUAUAUAUAUACAUAUAUAUAUAUGUAUAUAUAUACACAUACACAUAUAUAUAUAUAUUUCAGAUAGCUUCUACUGACAAACACAAAGCUUGUUUGUGUGCAAAUAUAAGGCUAAAUAAAUGGUGCUAAAGUGUAUUAUGACUGUCAGAUAUAAUCAGGCAAACUUUUGUGGUGCUUAAAUUAAUUUUUUCAUUGAUUUAUUGAUCAAUGCAUUGAACAGUGUUUAUUAUUCACAAGUUGUCUUUUACUGGUAAAUCAGGCCUCAUAGCACAUUGUUAAAUAAAAUGGUUGACUAGUCUAUGUAACAGCUCACCAAGCUACUAUCUCUUUAACUCCUUAAUAAUGUUGCAUCAUUAAAGGUCAAGGGAUCAUAAUAUUAAUCUCAUUGCUGUAGACCAUUAACAUGACUGAACUUUUCCACAAAAUACUUAUGUUUACAAUGCUAUAACCCUUUGACUGCUGCGGCAACCUUUAACCCUGUAAAUGUCACAAGCUGGGAUCAUCAGCAUGGUUCUUGCCAUGGCAAUCAAAGAGUUAAGGGCUGUGCAGUGAUGUGUUUUGUAUUUAUUAAUUUAUAUUUAUUUUGUUUCCAUUCAAGAAGGGGGUUUUGGGUGGGGCAGUUUUUGUCUGCUGUACGUGUCUUAACCUAGGGAAGGGUUAAAUGGCUUUUUAUACUAUUGCCUCUUCUGUGUUUGCCAUCAAUUCAUUGUGUUGUAAUUUAAAACAAAACUGUCAAUAAAUAAGAGAACAGAAAAUGGUU